UAAUUAAUGUUGUUGAACCCUUUUCAUUCUCUGCCGUCGUGAUAUCUGCUCGAACUUUAGGCUUUCGAUUCAUCUCCUUCCUCCAACCCAGGAUUUUACCAGUUUCACAUCCAAUAUUCCUUAUCUCUUUUCUCAACCUAAACAGAUGGGUUAUAAAAGCAUGGUCUCUUCUGGACAGAGAUUAUUGAAGCUUUGAAGCCAUCAUGCUUCGUCUUCCAAAUUAUUUGAAAAGUUGUGGCUGUGAAGAGAGUCGGUCAUCCUUGACGUGGGAGGAAUGGAUAUGCCAAUCCCUGAUGAGCUAUUGGAUUUAGUCAACGUCUUAAGCUCGAAUGAAACGGAGAUUUGCAACUGUGGGGGAUGUGUUGCAGUUGGUGCGGGAGGAAUGGAUACGCCAAUCUCUUAACUAUACUCAACGAUUUGCAAUGGGAAAAAAACCUCUCAUUCUC